CAUACUGUAUUUGUGAUGUAUUUUUGAGUAGUGUGACAAUUAUGAAAGCAUUGCGGUGUGGUUAUCUUUGAUUAACAGUAGUAAUGCAUUUUUAUGUAUUCAUGCCUUUUUCCAGGUUCACCACAGUCAGAAUUUCCGACCUGCUUUCCCAGAUAGCAAAAUGCUUCUAAAUAUCUUUUCUUAACUCCAUUAAAAAUGGUUCGCGGUUUUCAUAAUUCAUAAUUCAAAUCAUUAAUCAUAUUUCAGAUGGAUCAUACUUGGUUUCAAGUAAUUGAGAGUAAGUCUGGCCCAGAUCACAAAUACAGUGCCUGUGCCCAAAAAACUAAAGUACCCCGCAUAAACGAGGAAGCAAGAGGGCAAUAUCAACUCCCACAAGAAAAACACCUAAACAUGAACAUAAAAGGAUUAAACUGGAUGAAAAAAUCAGACACAACAAAUGGUCCAUCGAAGAGAAAUCUAUUCUGAAAGAAUACAGUCAGCAAUUACGAAAAGAUGGCGAGUCAGAAAACAGUUUCUGGAACAACUGUGCAAUUGCCAUGAACAACAUGUUUGGUGGAAAAAACAGAAUAGGUUCCAGCUCUCCAAGAGAAGUUGCAGGGCAUAUAUUGUCUUCUUCAUUGAGAGGAAGUAUCGUUUUAGAACUUUUAAAUGAAAUUGAAUAUGCAGCAAAAGAAUGCUACAACAAGGACAGUGUUUUAGCCCAAAAGGAUUUCUGUGACCUGGCUGAAUUUAAAUGGCAUGAACUCAUUGAUGAACUAUUAGAGCAACAGCCACUGCUAGCUGAUGUUCUCUUGGCUGUGUCUCUACCAACCUCUAAGAUAGGGAAUACAAAAUCUGUUCAGAGACUAAUACUGGUCAUAUCUGCUGUGUUUGGAAUGUUGAUGAAUACAGGAUACCAGGAGUUGUCGUUACAACUUGUUAGUUCAAAAGAUAAUCGCAAUGACUUUAGCUAAAGAACAAACAUGCCCCAAAUUACAUUUAGUUUCAACUGUGUUUCUUUUUUUCUACAAAUGUUUUGUUUAAGCCCAAAAACACGAAAUAUGACUUAACACCUUGUUUAUAGAAUGGAAUAUUGUAAAGUGUGCAAUUUAUAUUUAUUCAUUUUAUGAGUAACUCAAGAGAAAAUUUCAUUAAAGAGUUGCCAAACUCAGCUGUGAAUGAUUGUUUGUUUUAUAAAAUAUUCAAUGUAUGUAUUUUAAAUAUAUCUUUAUAUGUUUUAAAUAUUUCACAAUAUCUAAAUACACAUACAGUAAAAAACAUACCAGGUAUUAAAAAAAAUAUUUAGCCAGAAAUUAGCAAUAUACAUGUAUAUUUUCUUGCAAUUUGAUAAAAAAAAUAGUAUUAAACAUUAAAUGUUGUACUAUUUUCUUAACCUCAAGUUUGUAAAAUUGGGCAUUUGAAUGUUUAUGUUACUGUUCAUGACACGUUUUGUUUUGAAAUUGAAUAAAUCUUUUGGAACAUCUAUUUAAUAGCACUGACCCUAGCUCUUAAGGUCCUUGAUGUUUUAGCUUACCUGAGCUCAGAUGAGCUCAUAGGAUCGAUGAAUGUCUGUUGUCCGUCCUUCUUCUUUUAACUCCCCUUUGGGGUUUUUUCUGCUCAUAGAUCGAGAAACUUGGUCAUGAUAAUUGUUUGGAGAAAUUGUAGGUCAAGUUCAAAGACGGGUCAUCAGGGGCCAAAAACUAGGUCACUAUGCCGUUGACAAAUAUUGACUACCUGUACUAAGGUGAGCGAUACAGGGCCAGUAUGGCCCUUUUGUUUUAA